GCUGGGUGUGGUGGUGUGCACCUGUAGUCCCAGCUACUCAGGAGGCUGAGGUAGGAGGAUUGCUUGAACCUGGGAGGUGGAGGCUGCAGUGAGCUGACAUCAUGCCAUUGCACUCCCGCCUGGGCAACAGAGCAAGACCCCAUCUCAA
rnacentral:SRP_RNA from 2 species